GCCGCUCCGCGGCAUGUGGGAUCUUCCCGGACCGGGGCCCGAACCCGUGGCCCCUGCAUCGGCAGGCGGACUCUCAACCACUGCGCCACCAGGGAGGCCCACUUAGCUAGUCUUGAUUGCUAAUUACUGUUUGAACUUUUUCAAAGUAUAAAAUACACGUGAAAAAGGGUACAGGUCAAGAAUGUACAGCUUGAUGAAUUUUCACCAGCUGAACACACCUGCGUAAUCAGCACCUAGAUCAAGAAACAGAUCGUCACCACACCCAAGCAGCUUCCCUCACUACUUUUUCAGUCAAGGGUAACCACUUUCCUGAUUUCCAACAGCACAGGUUGGUCCAACCUGUUUUUGAACUUUAUCUAUAGAAUCUUUCAACAUGUUCUCUUUUUUUUUAUCUGUUUUCUUUUUUCACUCAGCAUUUCAUCUAUGAGACUCAUCCAUAUUGUUGUGUAUAGACUUUUCAUCAUCAUUGCUUUAGAGCAACCUGUUGUAUGUGUAACAUUUUUUGAUCAGAUAUUUAUUUUCAACACAUAGAGUUAAAAAAUAAUUAUGCACUGGUGUUAAGGCUUGCUUUCUCCAAUUUCCUAACCCCCCAACAUGUAGUUUCUUAAUGGAGUUAGUCAAGGAAACUUUACAUUAUAGAAAGGAAAAUGUUGGAUUCCCGUUAAUUCUGCCUUGUUUAGAUUUUUCCACAAUGGGAAGUGUUAACAGGGGAAGUGUAAUGAUGCCUGGGAAAGACAUCCACUGUUUGUCAGCCAAAUUUGCCAGGCCAGUGUAACUGACUUCCCGUGUAAUUCCCGAGGCACUUGAAGACAGGAAAAGAUGCUGCCGUCUCACUGCUCCCGUAGGAGCGCCCAAACCAAAGCUGGAGCCAGGCCCAGGUGUGACGUGGUUUAAAUUGGUCUCUGGUGCUGCCCCAUUCUCCUUAUCACCAUCUGCCAUCUCCUAUUGCUCACUAACAAGUCUGUGAUUAUGGUCUUCUUCAUCAGUAGAUAUACACCACCUAGAAAUGACUUAACCCAGUAGUUUUCCAUUAUUUCACCACCUCCUAUCAACCCAGUUGGGAUUUUAGAGAUAGUUUGAAUAAGGCAAUAUCCCUAGACCAUGCUACGAUCUUUUGUAUGUAAUUGUGUCUUUAUGUCAGAGAUACUUGGAGAUCAAGUGUCUCCUAAGGAGAGGAAUAUGAGUUGACAAACCUAGUAAGAUAUAGGAGACCCUAGUGAGAAUAUGAAUCUUUUACAGGCAAUGGAAAACAAUUUGUCAUUCCACACUAAAGAAUGGGGUCUGCUGAUACCAUUCAGCAUUCUUCUAGAAUGGUGAGGUCAGUCAUGUGCAUGGAAAUGGGAAGAGCCAGAAAUCUCGUGCUCCCCUCUGUGUCUCCCUUGAUCUGGUGUUAUCACGGUCACAAUGGGGAAACACACCUUACCUCACUCUUCAAAAUACUGGUCGUCUCUUCCCCCUUUUUAGUUAGGUAGUUGUUUAAUAAACUUGCCUUGUACAAAGCAGAUGCUCAACAACAAUAAUAACGUCUACCUUUCCCAGGGAUGUUGGCACUUUAGCAGAGGAUCCUGAAUGCCUAAAUCUAAAUCCAAAGGAUACAUGUCAAGUUUAUAGGUUAGAAUAAAAAUAAUAAUAGGCAUUAGUUUUUAGAGCAUUUGCUAGGUGCUGGGUACUAUGUGAAGCACUAUAAAUGCAUUAUCUUGUUUAAUCCUCUUAUUAUCCUCAUUUUAUGACUGAAGCAUUGAGCUCUAGUAAAUUUCUGAAGGUCAGACAGCUGAUAAGUGGCAGAAUUGUAAUUCAAUUACAGCCAAAUCUGUCUGAUCGAAGAGCCAAGUUCUCAAUCAUUGCAACACAGACACUUUCUUGUGGAUUGUGCAUUUACUUCUCUGCUGUAACAAUUCUGCUUUUUACUGCUUACUGCCAUUAUUUUCUUUGCUCUGUCACAUAUUGCAUCGAACUUGUUUUUUCUCACACCUGUCCCUGAUGCCAUAUUCUCUUUUGUCUCAUUGCACAUAGCAAAGAGCCAGUUGUAUAAAAUAGUCUCCUGAUUUUUCAGGUUCAUAAAGUAAAAUACUUUCUAGAGAAAGGCUUUUCUCAGCUCCUGGCUUGGUUCCUGUUUAUUAUGAAGCAUUUCUUCUCCUUCCUAUUUAGUCUCCAAGAUUUUUUUAAAUCUUUUUUUUUUUUUUGGCUGUACCAUGCAGCAUGUGGGAUCUUAGUUCCCCGACCAGGGAUUGAACUCACACCCCCUACAUUGGAAGCGCAGAGUCUUAACCACUGGACUGCCAAGGAAGUCCCUAGUCUCCAUGAUUUUGAUUUAUUGAUGUUCAUUGUCAUUCACAAACCUGAAAAGAUAGUUUCAAGCAUUUGUCUUAAAUUACUUACUGAAGCUUCCUAGGGCAAGGACAAGGUAGCAGGCUAGAUGAAGUGGAAGCCCAGAACUCCUGCCAGAUGAGCUGCAGGGUUUCAUUAGCUAGGAUUAGGGGUACAGAUCUCAGAUCCCAUUUCUGAGGCAUGGCUGUACAUAGAUGUUCUCUCCACGAUGCAUCUGGGUACUGAGGUUAGGCAAUUUAGAGGAGAAAGCCAGACUGUGGCAAAAUCUUACUCACUUGUGAUAUAGGGUUGAGCCUUUGUGUCAUUAUUACUAUAGUUACUGAAAAAAAAAAAAAACCACUGAAGUAAUGGCGUUGGAGACAAGGAGAUUGCUGACAUUUUCUUUUAUUGCACAAUCUUCCUAGGAAUCCUGCAACCUGACUGUCCAAUCACGGAAUUCUUUAGAAACUGAGCUGGUCCAAGGAAGGAGAGCUUUUUAGAGAAGCAUCCCUGAAAUCACAUCACAGCAACUGCCAACUUUGCCUAAACACAGAGCCCGGUGAUGCUGGCGUACACAGAGGAAUGUGCAGUGGCUGAACUUUUGGCCAAAUGGGGUCUUGGAAACCUGCAUGGUGACAUGGGAAGAACAGGGGCUUUGAAGUCAGACUUCACGACCUUGGAUUUAAGAAGUGGUUCUAGUAUUAGCUCUGCAGUCCUGGACAAGGCAACUAACUUGCUUAAGUUUCAAUUUUAUCAUCUGCACAAUGUCACUCACACAGCCUAUAAUCAACAUCACAUACUAGUAUUGCUGAUUUUAAGUCAGUUUCUCCCUCUAGACUAAGGUCCAUAAGGAGAAGGAUAUGUCUUGCUCAUUGCUACAUUCUACCAUGCCUAGUACACCGUCUGGCAAGAACUAGGUGAUCAAUAAACAGUUAUUAAGUUAAUAAGAAGCUCUAUAACAAAAAAAAAAUAUCUACUGGGAUUUUUAUUAUAAUUGGGAUUAUAUAGAAUUAGAUUAAUUUUAGGAGUAUCUAUAUUUUUAUGACUCAUAAACAUAAUAUAUCUUUUUGUUUCUGUAAUGUUUUCACUAAGGUUUUAUAAUUUUUGCUACAAAGACUCACACAUGUUUUGUUAGGUUUAUCCCCAGGUAUGUGAAGUUUUUAUAACACUGUAAAAGUCUUCUUAUAAAAACACCAGAUUUUCUAAUUCUUGGGGUUGAUGCUUAGAAUUGAAACUUAACUUUGUAUAUUAUUUAUUAAGUCACAUUUUAAAGUUUUGUUACUAGUUCUAAUAAUUUAUCUGUAGAUUCACUGAGGUUUUCUACCAGACAAUUACAUCAUUUGCAAUAAAGAUGAUUUUAUUUCUUA